rnacentral:lncRNA from 1 species
UGCUACACUAUUAUGCAAGAUUAGGAGCUCAAUAUUAUUUAGAAGCAAAGCAUCAACAGAAAAACAUACUAGCCAAGGAAACAUCCACAUAGUCAUGUACAUGUUUUUCAUUGUUGCUUCUCUAGAACACAUUAUGCGUGUGUGUGUGUAUGUGUGUGUCUGUCAUUCAUGUGGCUUUGUGACUCAUGUAUGCUGGGUCCUCUCACUGUUUGAGGACAGCAGUGGCUCACUUGGACCAUUUACUUAACUUAGGAGACCACUUUAUAUGGAAGAUGGAGACAUUUAGUUUCAUGAAGGACGGAACAAAACAAAAGUUUUGAAUAACGGCAGGUCCCCAAAUAGUGGGAACAGCACGAACAUCGGCAUGAAGGCAAGAAAAUAGGAGGCAUGUACUGGGGAGAGCAAAUAGUUCAGUUGGAGAAAGGGCACAUGAGGAGCAGUAGCAGCAAAUAAGAAUGACCAGGAGUUUGGGAUCAGACACGUGGGACCAUGAGUACCAGGUCAAAAGUUCAAACUUUAUUUGAUGAUGAAGCAACAUUAAACACUAAAGGUCAAGUUUCAGGAAUGUAACUAAUUCAGAAGAAACACAAUGACACAUAAAAAAAGAAAUAGAGCCAAACACAAAAAUUAGCAAAAUAUGAAUGCUUCACCUCAGCGAUGGAUUCUUAUGACUGAACACUGGGAGCCAGACAUUAAAGGACAAACGGGAAGCCUAUCUAAAUCACUAUCUGACAGAAAGAAGCUCAUUUAUUCUUGAAAAGAGAACAAACAUCCUAGGAGAAAUCAUGUGGACUCUUUUAAGUGCCAUUAAAUGACACAAUGGGAAAAAUCUUCAACAAUAUUUUUAUCACAAACAGAGAGGCAAAGUCACAUGGUUGCACAGCUCUCUCUCAUACUGACAUUUAAUACAGGCUCCAAGCAGGAAAGUAUCAUCUAAGAAGACAGCUAAUGUGAUUCAUUGAUGUGGAUUUCUGAUCUUUCCUGAUCAUCAGGAAAUGAUGAACUUGAGACACCUGGAAGAAUGAAUAUCAUACUUCUAUUAAAUGUCACUUCUGUUGGCCAGUC